rnacentral:rRNA from 1 species
GACGAACGCUGGCGGCGUGCUUAACACAUGCAAGUCGAACGAAGAGCGAUGGAAGCUUGCUUCUAUCAAUCUUAGUGGCGAACGGGUGAGUAACGCGUAAUCAACCUGCCCUUCAGAGGGGGACAACAGUUGGAAACGACUGCUAAUACCGCAUACGAUCUAACCUCGGCAUCGAGGAUAGAUGAAAGGUGGCCUCUACAUGUAAGCUAUCACUGAAGGAGGGGAUUGCGUCUGAUUAGCUAGUUGGAGGGGUAACGGCCCACCAAGGCGAUGAUCAGUAGCCGGUAGGAGAGGAUGAACGGCCACAUUGGGACUGAGACACGGCCCAGACUCCUACGGGAGGCGGCAGUGGGGAAUCUUCCGCAAUGGACGAAAGUCUGACGGAGCAACGCCGCGUGAGUGAUGACGGCCUUCGGGUUGUAAAGCUCUGUUAAUCGGGACGAAAGGCCUUCUUGCGAAUAGUUAGAAGGAUUGACGGUACCGGAAUAGAAAGCCACGGCUAACUACGUG